AAGAGUAGAAAAGGAAAAUUAGAAUGAAGCACCCCGAGAGCAUGAAAAGAAAAAGAAAAGGAAAAUAGAAAUUUGUAUAUGUACACUUACAUAUAUGUAUGUUUAUAUUAGUAUAUGAUUGUUGGAAGAAAAAAGAGUGUUAAUUAGAUGAGAUCCAGGAGCGGCGGCGUUGAUGGAUAAUUAGGAAUCGGAGUAGUGGCUCCAACAAAUGAGCAUAACAAUACAGCGCCUGAUGAUGUAGAAGCGAGCCCUUUGCUCCUUCACAAGGUUGGCACACUUGCCACACCAACUACUACUCUUCCUCUUGCUCUUGGUGCUCUUGGUGCCCAUUCUGACCGAUGUGGGUCCUUCUUUCUUUGACAACUUGCUCCACUUGUCUUCGACGUCGAUCCCACCAUUCUCUUUAUAACAUGUGUAUGCCAUAGAAGCACAAGAUAUCGGGAGUUGUAUCAAUGCUAACAAACAGGAAAAUAAAAUGAAAUUGCUGUGAC
rnacentral:lncRNA from 1 species